AUGCACCUCGUACCUUUGACGUUGCCAAAUCCCCAGAACAAUAUCCUGCUGGCAGUCAUGUGGUGCACCCAUCCCGGCGCAAACAGCUUUGGGCAGGAGCCCGAUUGCGAGCUCUUUCUCUCUCUUCCCCCAUGCCAACCUCUCUUGAAAUUAGUAAAUGUUUCCACCAGGCAUUUCAGAGGUGACCUCAGGUCCAGAGCUCGGCGCGCCACGCAAAGCCCCCGGGCACGGCAGCCCACGGAGGACACGCUGCACGCUGCCAAGAGGACGCCCCGCGCGGGACCGCGCGCCCAGGACUGCCAAGCGUGCUCUGUGCACGGCAAAGCCACAGCAAGUCUGCAGAAAGACACAGAUGUGUACAUGAACGCAGCCAGGAAAGACUGAAUUCUUCAGGGGUAAAAUUCAUUUUGGAAGCCCUAAUAAACCAGACCUGCAGGUGAUCCCAGUGCCCACCAGCUGCUCCUACAUCUCCACCAAGGAACCUUUCACAAGAAGAUUCACAACGUGUGUUCCAGUCUUCCCAGGCAAAGCUGGGACAAUGCCUUGCACAACAACCAUUUUUCCUACUACAGCAGCAUCGAGAAGCCUCCUAUGGCUGCGGCUCGCAGGUGCCCAUUAUUCAAAAGGCUGCCCCUUACCUGAGGGGCUCAACUGAGAGAGAGAGAAAGAUGGGAAAACAAAACCAAAGUAACUUGCCCAGUGCCGUGCAGCAAACCGACAGCAGUCUGGUUCACCUUGACUCUUCAGUGACCUGUCUGAUAGGAGCGUACGGUCAGACUCAGGAGAAAGCCUUUAUUUUGGUUUCACCUGACUUAUUUCUGCUUUGGGAGCCAGCAGGGGUUGCCAAACGGCAGCAAGUACAAAUGUAAAGGUCUUCAGCAGAUACCCAAGGGAAACCAAGAAAAAUCUUUAUCUUCAUCUCUUAUCGAUCUUGAUCUUUGUCCACCUGGCACGGAGGGGAACUCCCAGUGUACCACUAGCAGAAGCCACAUACCAGAAAUUAUCAACUGUGAAGUAAAGAAAAAAAAAAAACUGAGGAGGUAAAAGAGAUACAAGGUAAAUAGGAAAAGAGAAGUGCUGUCAGGACCUGAUGGCAAUACUUAGCAUAAGAGUUGUGGGAGUCUCUGGUCUACUGCUAUGGGUAAACAUUUGUCCAAAUGACAGCACAUGGUGGAAAAUUAUGUGAGAUGGGCCAGAACUAAGUCGUGAUUGAUGAGCCUUGGAAGAACAGGACCUGGCUCUCCAAUGUUGGUUUUGCAACCUUUGAUCUUUAUAGCCACGCAUUAUAAAGCGGUUUCAACUUGUAACUAAAUUCCUGACAUACUCAGCUGUAAAAUCCAGACCUAUCCUGAGUAAUAAAACAAAUACAUAAACUGGAACUUAGGUGAGAGAGUCAUCUUUUACCGUCACUUAAUGCUGGGAACACCUAGAGCUCCUUAUAGUAGAUUCAGUAGGAAAGCGUAAUUUUAAGAGCGGCACGAAGGGAUUUUGGCUAGAAACAAAUUCAUUGGGCUGUACAGACUACAUCGUUAAUCCUGCUUGGCCAACUUACAGUGCCUCUAAAGGGCACUGCAGAACAGGCAUCUUGCAAACUGUUAUGUGCACUGUAACUACACCACGUGAUGUUCAUCAAAUAGGACUUCUAUCACACUGUGCAUCAGAGCCACGGGCCUUCUGCAAAAACGUCAUUCUAAGAACUUCUUGCCUACUGUGGAUAUAACCAAUAAAUCAAGGCAGUUGCACAAGCCACAACCUAGGUGGCAUUAAUUAGAUCAGUGGAAGUUAUGAUCCAACCUAAUUAUCACUGCUACCCCACCUACGUUUAAUUUCAGUGUUUCUUCCUAUCUUUC
ensembl:lncRNA